rnacentral:rRNA from 1 species
AGAGUUUGAUCCUGGCUCAGGACGAACGCUGGCGGCGCGCCUAACACAUGCAAGUCGAACGAGCGAGAGAGAGCUUGCUUUCUCGAGCGAGUGGCGAACGGGUGAGUAACGCGUGAGGAACCUGCCUCAAAGAGGGGGACAACAGUUGGAAACGACUGCUAAUACCGCAUAAGCCCACAGGUCGGCAUCGACCAGAGGGAAAAGGAGCAAUCCGCUUUGAGAUGGCCUCGCGUCCGAUUAGCUAGUUGGUGAGGUAACGGCCCACCAAGGCGACGAUCGGUAGCCGGACUGAGAGGUUGAACGGCCACAUUGGGACUGAGACACGGCCCAGACUCCUACGGGAGGCAGCAGUGGGGAAUAUUGCACAAUGGGGGAAACCCUGAUGCAGCGACGCCGCGUGGAGGAAGAAGGUCUUCGGAUUGUAAACUCCUGUUGUUGAGGAAGAUAAUGACGGUACUCAACAAGGAAGUGACGGCUAACUACGUGCCAGCAGCCGCGGUAAAACGUAGGUCACAAGCGUUGUCCGGAAUUACUGGGUGUAAAGGGAGCGCAGGCGGGAAGACAAGUUGGAAGUGAAAUCCAUGGGCUCAACCCAUGAACUGCUUUCAAAACUGUUUUUCUUGAGUAGUGCAGAGGUAGGCGGAAUUCCCGGUGUAGCGGUGGAAUGCGUAGAUAUCGGGAGGAACACCAGUGGCGAAGGCGGCCUACUGGGCACCAACUGACGCUGAGGCUCGAAAGUGUGGGUAGCAAACAGGAUUAGAUACCCUGGUAGUCCACACCGUAAACGAUGAUUACUAGGUGUUGGAGGAUUGACCCCUUCAGUGCCGCAGUUAACACAAUAAGUAAUCCACCUGGGGAGUACGACCGCAAGGUUGAAACUCAAAGGAAUUGACGGGGGCCCGCACAAGCAGUGGAGUAUGUGGUUUAAUUCGAAGCAACGCGAAGAACCUUACCAAGUCUUGACAUCCUUCUGACCGGUACUUAACCGUACUUUCUCUUCGGAGCAGGAGUGACAGGUGGUGCAUGGUUGUCGUCAGCUCGUGUCGUGAGAUGUUGGGUUAAGUCCCGCAACGAGCGCAACCCUUAUCUUUAGUAGCCAGCGGUCCGGCCGGGCACUCUAGAGAGACUGCCAGGGAUAACCUGGAGGAAGGCGGGGAUGACGUCAAAUCAUCAUGCCCCUUAUGACUUGGGCUACACACGUGCUACAAUGGCGUAAACAAAGGGAAGCAAAGCUGUGAAGCCGAGCAAAUCUCAAAAAUAACGUCUCAGUUCGGACUGUAGUCUGCAACCCGACUACACGAAGCUGGAAUCGCUAGUAAUCGCAGAUCAGAAUGCUGCGGUGAAUACGUUCCCGGGUCUUGCACACACCGCCCGUCAA